rnacentral:lncRNA from 1 species
AGGAAAAGGGGAGCAUGAUAUUAGAUGUGUGUGAAAUAUCAGAAACAGUUUUAAAUAUGAAAUGAAAAUGAUGUCUGUGGAGUAAAUAAAUUGGCAAAACCUGUUGAAUAUGCAUAAAAAAGGGCACAUGCAUGGUACCUUUCGUUAAAAAGUUUUUCUUUCUCCAAGUCUAAAAUAUGUACAAGUGCUAGAAACUUAGCAUGAAAGUUGCAUCUAAUGCCGAC